rnacentral:rRNA from 1 species
GACGAACGCUGGCGGCGUGCUUAACACAUGCCAGUCGAACGGAAAGGCCCUGCUUUUGUGGGGUGCUCGAGUGGCGAACGGGUGAGUAACACGUGAGUAACCUGCCCUUGACUUUGGGAUAACUUCAGGAAACUGGGGCUAAUACCGGAUAGGAGCUCCUGCUGCAUGGUGGGGGUUGGAAAUUUUCGGCGGUUGGGGAUGGACUCGCGGCUUAUCAGCUUGUUGGUGGGGUAGUGGCUUACCCAGGCUUUGACGGGUAGCCGGCCUGAGAGGGUGACCGGGCACCAUGGGACUGAGAGACGGACCAGACUCCAACGGGAGGCAGCAGGGGGGAGUAUUGCACAAUGGGAGGAAGCCUGAUGCAGCAACGCCGCGUGCGGGAUGACGGCCUGCGGGUUGUGAACCGCUUUCGCCUGUGACGAAGCGUGAGUGACGGUAAUGGGUAAAGAAGCACCGGCUAACUACGUG